AAGCCAUUAACAUAUGAUAAUAAGCAAAGGAAAUGAACAGUUAACAUAUGAUAAUAAGCAAAGGAAAUGAACAGUUGCAGCCAGCUGAUUCACCAGCCUGCCUUUCUGCUUCACCCUCCUGGUUUUUACACGUGUUGUCUGCCUCUCUACCUCUUAUUUGCCUCUUUUUGUUCGCAUUUCUCACUGUUCCGAUGAUGGCUGCGACCGACACCUCCUGGGGUUGCUCUGAUGAUGUUGGACCACCAUCACAACGACGGUUUACCUGCUGGAUUAGGAGUGAUUGUUAGGGUUUUCUUGCCUGUAUCAAUCACUCUCGAACCCUUGUGGCAAUGUUGUGGUGGUGGCAUCGUUGACAUAAUCACCGGGUUUUGGGGAUUCGCUGCCUGGUUAGGGUUUCGUUGCUCAUGUGGUGUCGCCGCCUAUCGAGGUGGUGGUUAGGGUUUCAUUGCCCAAAUUAGUCGCUCUCGAACCCUAGGGGGUGAUGUUGUGUUCGUGACGCUAUAGACCUAACACUUUGCUAACCUUCGUCUAUCUCUUUUCAUCUUUUAGCUGAGGCUAUGAUGAGUCAGUAAAUCUGAAUGUAAUGUUGUUGUCGAUUUAGCUUUGGCAUGGCAGGGUUAAGGAUGGCACUUCAUUAGUUGCAACCUUCCCUGCAGCCAUGGUGGUAUUGUUGCUUUGUGGACUCUGAGCCUGUUUCACGUUGUUUACUAUUUAUUGUGUUUAGUUUAUUUGGGUGCUAUUUUUUCCACAUAGAGGUUAAGAAAUUCCCUUUGAACAUUACAAAUUUAAGUAUAAUGUGGGUCGUCAUUUUUCUCCGAUUGCAUCAGUACUAUUGAAAAUCUGGUUUUGUUAUAAUUUGUAGAGUGCUAAUGGCUAAUGGAAGCACCAUAAGCUUAAGGUGAAUGAUAAAAAGACCCUUUUUGGCCAGAAGCUAGGUAUUGCAAUUCUGUUUUUACUCUGAUGUAUGUUGGCAUUGCAUGUGUUGAGUGUUUGUAAGAAGAGGUGUUGAUACGGUAAAAGAUCAAAUAAUUUACUUGCGUAGUUUGUUAGGGUUUAAAAAAAUAAGUUUAUCAGGGUGAUGAAAAGAGUACAAAGAGUCCAUGAUAGACCAUACGGUGUGGAGGGGUUUGAAAAAUGGAGCGUUAUGUGACAUGUGGAUGACACGUAAGCACGAUUCAGAAAUGGGGCGUGGUGCAAAAACGGGCGGUGUGGGAGGGGGCGUGGAAGAUCUGUUUUCUUUUAAAUUAUGUCGUUGGGGUCCAACGGCUAUAACCCACACAAAUAGCCAGACGCCACAUCGCCUGAACCAAUGCCUCCACGCUGGUGGAAAUUGUCCCGCCCCAACAUCAACACCAUUGAAAACGCCGAGCCCGGUGUAGUAUGUGUGGCGUGGAGUGGCCUAAAUGCCACAAAUCCACGCCCACACCGUGUGGUCUUAACCAAAAAAUGCCUAUUUGCAGCAAUAUAUGUGCUUAAUGUGUAAGCAAUGAUACUUCAAUUACACUUGUGUUUAUCCUAUGCAUUUAGUGUGCAAUUUUUAUACGAGAACAUUUACAUUUGGUAAUGGUGAAUGUAUAGAUACCUCAUUCUUAAUCUUAUAUGUUUGGGUUCAGUUGACCUGUAACAAGGGUGUUUUGGUUUUCACCUGUAACAAGUGCUUUUUGGUCAUGUGUUUUACCUAUUUAAAUUUGGUAAAAUAAAGAACAAAAAGGGAUGAAACUUUGCUUCGUUCUUAGUGGAUGUGAAGUGUUAAUUUAUAUGAUCAUAUCUGCCAAAAUAAAGGAAAAAAUGACAAAAUUCAGUUGUGUAUUUGGGGAUUGUAGUGUGUUAAUUUACCUGUUUACUUUUGUCAGGAGUAGUAAAACACUAUCAAACAUUAAGGCGAAUAGCAGAAGGGGUUUAACUUCGAUCGUAGUCGAAGCACGUCGUCUCAGGUUUACGACUUUCGUCCCUUUUCAUGACAUAUUUUUGUUGUUCCUUUCGAAUAUUUAAUCUCUGUUGUCUUGAUGGUAAGGCUUGGUAUAGUUUGAGGUUUCAAUUCAAUUAAAUAAGGAGUAAUAUUGAUUUUGUUUCUUUUGCCCUUUUGUUGGAACUGUCUGUUAUGUUGCUGGUAUGGUUUGAUUUAAUUUGAGGCUUCAAUUCAAUAAUUAGUAAUAUUGAUUUUGUUUCUUUUGCCCUUUUAUUGGAAUGUUUAGUAAGAAAUCUUCACAACAGUUUCUUCAUAGUCUAUGGGUUAUAUAUCUUUUCCUUUGUUUGCAAUCCAGUUUAACAUCGUAGCAAUGUUUCGUUUGCUAGAGUAACCAUUGUUUGGUUUUGUGAGCGUGUUGCAGGUUUAAAAGCACAAACUCAAAGCCGUUGUCGCCAAGUUGUGAAUGUGAAUGGCUUUUGUACCAUUUUUAUGGUCUCACUUUGUUGUGAAAUUAACCCGACAAUUAUGAUUGCUUCCUACCUGGCGUGGCAACUUCAGUUGCAGCCGCGGUGGCACUAAGCCGUCCUCACUUGAUAAUUUUGAGAAGUUAUUGGUUGGUUUUGUGUCCUUGCUUCGACUCUAAAAGGUCAAUCAACUCUCAGCUUCUCCACCCAUCGUCCCACACCCCACCGUUGCGCCAAUGUCGUGCUGGUGUUCCGCGCCCACAACUUGGUAUCCCCUCUGCCCCCACAAUACGCUGCCUUGUGCAUAAACUUUUGUUUGUAAAACAAUGUUGUGGUCCAUAAAACUCGAAGAAGGCCGUUUGAGUACUUUCGGAUUACAGAUUCGUGUGCUAAUAUUGUUAAAUUGCAAACAAAGUUCCUUUUGAAGUUAUAGGUUUCGCUGGAUCUAUUGUUGAUGCACUUGGUUCGGGCUUUCGUUUUCACCCGUUAAUUCGGCAUUCUACUUAUGGAAGUGUCAGCAGUUCUCAAAUAAAUGGUAUGUAUUCAAACCUCUUAUUUGUCCAAAUUCAUUCUUGCUUGAAAAGUAAAAGAAAGAAGGGACUUAAUUUAAAGGUUUUGAUAGCUAACAAGGUGGAUACGACCGCUAUUAUGGUUGGUUUUUUUGCUAUAUUGGUAUGCUUAAGCCAUGUGUAGUCAUAACGCCUCUUUGUGGGCGUUAUGCGACAGGUGCCGCGCCACGUGUGCGGGUGGGCGUUAUGGGGCGUUAUGCAUUUAAGCCCGUAGUCAUAAAGCCCUUACCCAUCAAUACCUAAUUAUUAAUUGUCGUUUUUAUUAAAUAAUUAUAAAAACAAUAACCUUUUUUUUGAUUGGUCAAGGUUUGAAACCUUCCUCCACAACGCCGCGAUAUCCAUAGCGCUGCCCAAUUUUUUUUGCCUCAUAACCCCGCCCGUAGUGGUGUUCGGGGGGUUAUGGGGGGUUAUGAGAGAAAAUGGCGCCCCACUACGCAUCACCUUAGACGACUUCAGUUUCUUUAGAACUUAAUUUUGUGUAAUCAUAGGGUGCUUAAAGGAUUAUACCAAUUUAGAAGUUAAAGGUUAGUCUGUUUGACCAUCAAAGUCAAAGUUAAACUUUAUUUAUGCCACUUUUCACCAUUUUAAGCACUUCACGUUGGUGCUUUUCAUAAGCUAUUGCUCAUGCUACAGGUCAACUUUGGUGAACAAACAAAAGUGAAGGCUAUUAAGUUGUUGAAGUUGAUGAAUGAAUACAAGUUGGAAUGUUUUUUGUUCAGGAUAUUAUAAGUGUCUUAGAAAGUUUUAUUGAGUCAUUUUUGCUAUGUUUUUUUUUUUUUGUCUUUUUUCGGUUUUUUAGUAUCCAUUACGAUAUGCUUUGAUAGUGCGUCAAGUAUACGCGGGUGCUUUUUAUUUGAUGAAUAGAAAAGUAUAAGAUUGUUGUGUUGAA